rnacentral:rRNA from 1 species
GUAGGGGGCAAACGUUGCUCGGAAUUACUGGGCGUAAAGGGUGUGUAGGUGGCUGAGCAAGUCACGGAUGAAAUCCCGAGGCUCAACCUCGGAAUUGUUCAUGAAACUGCUCAGCUUGAGGAUAGUUGAGGAAAACGGAAUUCCCGGUGGAGCGGUGAAAUGCGUAGAUAUCGGGAGGAACACCAGAGGCGAAGGCGGUUUUCUAUGCUAUUCCUGACACUGAGACACGAAAGCUAGGGGAGCAAACGGGGGAUUAGAUACCCCGGUAGUCCUAGCCGUAAACGAUGGGCACUAGAUGUUUCUGCUUUAAGCAGGGGUGUCGAAGUUAACGCGUUAAGUGCCCCGCCUGGGGAGUACGGUCGCAAGGCUG